UACGUAGGGGGCAAGCGUUGUCCGGAUUUAUUGGGCGUAAAGAGCUCGUAGGCGGCUUGUUGCGUCAGCUGUGAAAACCCGGGGCUCAACUCCGGGCCUGCAUUCGAUACGGGCAGACUAGAGUUCGGUAGGGGAGUCUGGAAUUCCUGGUGUAGCGGUGAAAUGCGCAGAUAUCAGGAGGAACACCGGUGGCGAAGGCGGGUCUCUGGGCCGAAACUGACGCUGAGGAGCGAAAGCGUGGGGAGCAAACAGG
rnacentral:rRNA from 1 species